UGGUGGAGUGAUUUGUCUGGUUAAUUCCGUUAACGAACGAGACCUUAGCCUACUAACUAGUCGAUUCAACCUUUGUUGAUUCCGACUUCUUAGAGGGACUUUGUGACUAAACACAAGGAAGUUUGAGGCAAUAACA
rnacentral:rRNA from 1 species